AACUCUUGGCAAUGGAUAUCUCGGCUCUCGCAUCGAUGAAGAACUUAGCAAAAUGCGAUACUUGGUAUGAAAUGCAGAAUCUCGUGAACCAUCGUGUCUUCGAACGCAAUUUGCGCUCGAAGCCACUGGGCUGAGGGAAUGUCUGCCUGGGCAUCA